rnacentral:lncRNA from 1 species
AUGGAGGUGUGCCAGGACCAGGGUACUCAGAAGGGUGGGAAGCUCACAGACCACCUUGCUUUGAGUGCCUCUCAGCCGCUCUCUUGCUCUGUGAUUUUAAGGAAGUCCUUGAACCUCUCUGAGCCUGCUUUUUCCAUCUGCAGAUCGGUGAUAAUGAAACCUACCUUGCUGUUUCACGUUGAGGAAUCACUGCGGGAAGGGAAGUCCCUGCAUGGGCACUGCCAGCUUCUGCCUCUAUGCUUUUUCCUGAACCUUCUCCACCUCUGGAAUGUACUUCAGAGUCUUAAGAGCCCAAGGCCAUGUGAGCCAAUACCAGUACGCAUUCUCAGCUCAUGGAGGAGACAGACACUGAAGCUGCACGGAAGCAUGGCGGGGGAGGCCUCAGGAAACUGACAAUCAUCAGUGGAAGAUGAAGAAGGAGGAGGUGCAUCUUACAUGGCCAGAGAAGGAGGAAGAGAAAGAGGGGGGAAGUGCUACACCCUUCUAAACAACUAGAUCAUGCGAGAACUCACUGUCAUGAGAAUAGCAAGGGGAAAAUUUGUCCCCAGGAUCCAGUCACCUCCCAUCAGGCCCUCCUCCAACACUGGGAAUUGCAAUUUGCCAUGCGAUUUGGAUGGGGACACAGAGCUAAACCAUAUCAGUAGGUGACUAGUUAGUCAUUUUUUUCUUUUACACAAAAGCUAGUGUUGACAUAAAUUAUCAUAGCAUCAAAGAUACCUAGAGAUAAACCAAUUAAAAAUAUGCACAGGAUAUCAAUGUCAGGUCUAAAUAUUAUUGAAAGAAAUUGAAGAAGACCUAAAUAAAUUUAAAAAUACAUCACUUUUAUGAACUGGAAGGAUCUCAUCUCUGUAAAUAAGUCAAACCUCUCCAAAUUGAUCUACAGAAUCAAUAUAAUGCCAAUCUAAAUCCCAGGAAGGUGUUUUGAGGAAAUUGACAGGCUGAUUCGAAAACUAAUAUAGAUAUGUCAAGUCUUAACAGUAACAGAGACAAUCUUGAAGAAAAAUGAAAUGGGAGGAUAUCAUGACUCACUUUUAAAAGUGAACCAAGUAAAACAGAGUGGCAUUGGUCAUGGGAUAGAAAAAUGGACCAAUAAAAAGAAAUGAAAAUCUGGAAACAGAUCCAUGCAUAUAUGUAUACUUGAAUUGAUUUAUGACAUAGGGAAUCAUGGGGAAAGGAUAAUCCCUUAAUAAAUGACACUGGUUCAAUUACAUAUUCAUAUGGAAAAAAAUCUUGAUCCCUACCGCACACUAUACACAAAUAUCAAUUCCAAAUGUGAAAGGCAAAACAAUAAAUCUUCUGGAGGGUUUGGCAAACUUUUUCUGUAAAGAGUCAGAGAAUAAACAUUCUGGGCUUUGUGUGCCAUAAGGUCUGUUGUAGCACAAAAGUAGUCAUGGGUGAUGUGUAAAUGAAUGAGCAUGACUGUAUCCCAAUAAAACUUUAUUUACAAAAACAGCUGGCAGAAUGGAUUUGGAUCACAGUCCAUAGUUUGCCAACCCCUGUUCUAGAAGUUAACAUGGGUGAAUAUCUUUAUGAUCUUGGAAGAAGAUUUUUAAAUAGUCACAAAAUGUCCUAAUCACAAAGGCAAAGAUAUGUUGCGGUCCUUUAAUUUUAAGAUGUUCUGUUCACCCCAAAAUACCACUAAAGUACUGAAGAGGCAAUCGAUAUAGUGGGAGAAAUUAUUUGCAACACAUAUAACGCAUGUCCAAAAUAUAUAAAAACUACAAAUCAAUAAGGAAGACAAAUAACACAAUGCCAUGUUCAGACACUUCACCAAAGGUAGCCAAAUUGCCAAUUAACAUUUUCAAAGGUACUCAACUUUAUCAGUCUUCAGGAAAAUAAAAAUUAAAAACACAAUGACAUGCCACUACACACCUACUGGAAUGAUCAUAAUUUAAAAGCCUGACAAUACCAAAUGUUAGCAAGGAUUUUGAACAUACACACUGUUGAUGGAAGCGUACAUUGGCACAUUUCCACUUUGGAAAACUCUUUGGCAAGUUUCCUCUAACGCUGAGUACUAUAUGCAUACUUUCUGACUCAGCAAUUCCACUUGCAGAUACGUACUCCCACAGAAAUAUACACAAAAGACAUGUAUAAGAAUGUUCGUGGCAGCAUUAUUCAUAAUAACCUCAAAUUUUAAACAACCUAAAUAACCAUUAAAUGGACAGUUGAAUGGGUAAAUAACUCAUAGUAUAUUUAUAGAAUGGAAAACUAUUCAGCAAUAAAAAUACAUGAACUCCUUUUACAUGCAAAUCUACUGAAACUUUCAAAUGUAACAGUAAGUGAAAGUAGCCAGAACUGAAAGAACACAGAAUGUUUGAUUCUAAUUAUAUGUGGCUCAAAUACAAAUAUAAGUAAAACUAACCCAUGGCAUUAUAAGUCAGAACAGUGGUAACCUUUGGAGAGAAGGAGGAGCAUGAUAAACUGGAAUAUUCAGUGGGUUUCUUGGGAGCUGAUAAUGCUCUAUUCUUUAACCUGAGUGGCACUUACACAGGUACAUUCAUUUUGUGAUAGCUCACUGGACUAUAUACUUAUGAUCUAUGUAAUUCUCUGUAUAUAUGCAAUACUUCAUUUAAAGGUUUUAGAAAUCUAUUGGAGAAAAAGAAAAAAAAAACACUGCCUCCUGUUCCAACUAUAUGUUUCAAUCACCAGAGCAGGUCAGACACAAUAGCUGUACAGAUGCUUAGGUAGCACUGAAACGCUACUGGACAAAGAAACAUGGCUUACAAGUGUUCACAUGGUCUCCUUACACUGGCUCAAAGACCCAGCUGGCUCUAAUACAUUAAACUUAAAAGGUCACCAGGCCUGGUGACCACCUCACAGAAGAAAUAGAUUCUAGAUACACCCAGAGAAGUUUAUCUCAGAACUAUCAGGUCAGGAAAAUGAGGUUGUGAAGUCAGAACUGUAAAACAAUUCUGUUCUCUAGCAACUGCCUUAUGUUGGUCUCUUUCCUGCUCCUAUUCUCUCUUAAGUCUUGUAAAAGUGGUUUUACUCACAGGACAAGUGGUUCUCUAUACUAGGCGGCUUAGAUUUAGGUUUCCCUAAAGAUGGGAUGAAUUGAUUGCAUAUAUAUUUGCAGCUCUAUUGCUUUUUAAUACCCAAUAGCAAAGAAUUCUAUUCCCGAAUCCUAGAACUUCAAUCUUCAUGAGACAGCGAAAGGGCAUUUUGACCCUCCCAAUCAAAGUCGAAGAAUAUUUAUUCCACCUCCUUCAUAUUUUCCUCUUCUUGUCCUUGAAAUCUUAAUUAAAACUUCCUAAAUUCAUUUCCUCUAAGUAAACCACAGUAGCCAGAACCCUUAUUAGCGCUGAGAACUUUCCUUGGCACAGGUAUAAUUGCUCCUCUGUCAGUGUCCGGUGGAAGCUAACCUGAGUGGCAUGUUUUCAUAAGCUUUGGUGGUUGAGAGGAUGCCACCAGGAUGGCAAGAAGGGGAUGUGUCAAACACUUCACCUUGAAAGGAGCACAGGCCUUGAAAUCAGGCAGACUGAAGCUCCAGCACAGUGCCCAGCACUCACUAGAUGCUCGACCUUAAACAAAUUACUUAAUAUAGUUUAGAAUCAGUUCCUAAAUUAUAAAAUAAAUAAAAUAGUGUUUAUCUGGUAGAAUGGCAUAAAGUAAGAAGAGGAGGAGGAAGAGGAGGAAGAGGAGGAUGAGGAGGAGGAGGAAGGAAGAAGACCAUAAAUAGCACUGCUGUGUGCCUGGCAUUGUUCUGUGCGCUAUAUAUAUGUUGACUUAUUUCUAUGUAAGUGUCACAGCAAUCCUAGAACAUAGGCUCUGUUCAUAUCACCAGUUUAUAAAUGAGGAGCCCAGGCAUAGAGAAGUGAAGGAACUUGCCCGAGGUCAGAUGGCUACAAAGUGGUGGAGGGAGGACACUGAUCCAAGCAGUUUGGCCACAGGGUCCACGUUCUUAUGCACAACACCCAACUGGUUUCUUGCCCCUAGAGUAGAGGCAAUCAAGCAUGGAUGACUCACUUCAAGUAAUGCUUCUUUCAUCCCCUUUCUCACAAAGCUCAAUGGCACAUCUAAUUUUUAGGUUUAGGAAGAGAGAAAUUAAGAAGAUCCUUGUGUGUUUCUCUCAUUUAAUAGCACCCCCUGUAUCUUACUUUCACCUCCUCAGUGAACGACUUAGAGAAUAGGGCUGCUUUGGUAAGUUCUUUACUCAACAUGCACAUGAUGAGCACCUAUGGCACGCCAAGCACUAUCGUAGGUAAAAAAGGAGCCAAGGGGCCACGCCAGUUUCUUCUCCACUCUCCCUCUCUCACUGGAAUCAUAAGUC